AUUGAACGCUGGCGGAAUGCUUUACACAUGCAAGUCAAACGGCAGCACGGACUUCGGUCUGGUGGCGAGUGGCGAACGGGUGAGUAAUGUAUCGGAACGUGCCCAGUCGUGGGGGAUAACGUAGUGAAAAUUACGCUAAUACCGCAUACGAUCUAUGGAUGAAAGCGGGGGAUCGCAAGACCUCGCGCGAUUGGAGCGGCCGAUAUCAGAUUAGGUAGUUGGUGGGGUAAAGGCCCACCAAGCCAACGAUCUGUAGCUGGUCUGAGAGGACGACCAGCCACACUGGAACUGAGACACGGUCCAGACUCCUACGGGAGGCAGCAGUGGGGAAUUUUGGACAAUGGGCGAAAGCCUGAUCCAGCCAUUCCGCGUGCAGGAUGAAGGCCCUCGGGUUGUAAACUGCUUUUGUACAGAACGAAAAGGUUUCCACUAAUACUAGGAGCUCAUGACGGUACUGUAAGAAUAAGCACCGGCUAACUACGUGCCAGCAGCCGCCGUAA
rnacentral:rRNA from 1 species